GGACCUGUAGCUCAGUUGGUUAGAGCGCCAUCUUCACACGGUGGAAGUCCCCAGUUCGAGUCUGGGCAGGUCCA
rnacentral:tRNA from 1 species